rnacentral:lncRNA from 1 species
CAGGAAGGAAUUAAAGCCUCAUUUGGCCACAGGCCCAGUGUCAACACCAGGGGGCGCCACAGACCAUGAAGGCGCCCACAGACCAUGAAGGCACCGUGCAGCUGGGAUUGUUUGUGGUCGGCUACUGGGUCCCUGACUUAACCAGGGGAGCCAAGACCCUGCAGCCAAGUGGCCUGGAUUCAACCUGCAGCUCAGGUCUUACUGACACUUCUCCCCCUGGUGCCUCAGUUUCUUAAUCUGUGAAAUGGUGAGGACAUUACAGCAUUUACCUCUGGGGCAGGUUUCUCAACAGCAGCACUAUUAACAAUUUGGGACAGAGAAUCUUGUGGAGUGGUCUGUCCUGUGCAUUGUGGGAGGUUUGCCAGCAGCACCCCAUUCACCCCCUCCCACCAAUCCCCAUGUGACAACCGAAAAUGUCCCAGGAUUUUUAGGUCUCCCUUGGGUCUAGAAGCUGCACUUAGGCAUUUUCCCACCUGACACUUGAGUUCAUCUCUGCUUUGGUCAACAUAAG